GACGAACGCUGGCGGCGUGCUUAACACAUGCAAGUCGAACGGAAAGGCCCUGCUUUUGUGGGGUGCUCGAGUGGCGAACGGGUGAGUAACACGUGAGUAACCUGCCCUUGACUUUGGGAUAACUUCAGGAAACUGGGGCUAAUACCGGAUAGGAGCUCCUGCUGCAUGGUGGGUGUUGGAAAGUUUCGGCGGUUGGGGAUGGACUCGCGGCUUAUCAGCUUGUUGGUGGGGUAGUGGCUUACCAAGGCUUUGACGGGUAGCCGGCCUGAGAGGGUGACCGGCCACAUUGGGACUGAGGUACGGCCCAGACUCCUACGGGAGGCAGCAGUGGGGAAUAUUGCACAAUGGGCGGAAGCCUGAUGCAGCAACGCCGCGUGCGGGAUGACGGCCUUCGGGUUGUAAACCGCUUUCGCCUGUGACGAAGCGUGAGUGACGGUAAUGGGUAAAGAAGCACCGGCUAACUACGUG
rnacentral:rRNA from 1 species